AAAUCUAUUUAGGUAGAGCGUCAGCCGAAUACUCCCGGGGGUAGAGCACUGGAUGGGUAAUGGGGACUCACCGUCUUACUGAUCCUAACCAAACUCCGAAUACCGGGAAGUAAUAGCUGGCAGACACACGGCGGGUGCUAACGUCCGUCGUGGAGAGGGAAACAACCCUGACCGCCGAUUAAGGUCCCCAAGUUAUGGCUAAGUGGGAAAGGAAGUGGAAAUCCCAAAACAACCAGGAUGUUGGCUUAGAAGCAGCCAUCAUUUAAAGAAAGCGUAACAGCUCACUGGUCUAAAUAAGGGUUUCUGCGCCGAAAAUGUAACGGGGCUAAAGCCAUACACCGAAGUCGCGGGCUCGCAAGAGCGGUAGCAGAGCGUUCCGCAAGUCAGUGAAGGGAUACCCGCGAGGGAUCCUGGAGAUACCGGAAGUGCGAAUGUUGACAUGAGUAACGAUAAAGGGGGUGAGAGACCCCCUCGCCGAAAGUCCAAGGGUUCCUGCUUAAAGCUAAUCUGAGCAGGGUAAGCCGACCCCUAAGGCGAGGCCGAAAGGCGUAGUCGAUGGGAACCAGGUUAAUAUUCCUGGGCCAGGAGGAUGUGACGGAUUGUGGCGGCGUGCGUGCCUUAUCGGAUUGGCACGUAUCCAAGACAGUCCCAGGAAAUAGCCCUCCAUGAGAUCGUACCCUAAACCGACACAGGUGGACUGGUAGAGAAUACCAAGGCGCUUGAGAGAACGAUGUUGAAGGAACUCGGCAAAAUACCUCCGUAAGUUCGCGAGAAGGAGGCCCGGUACACGACUACCGGGGGCACAAACCAGGGGGUGGCGACUGUUUAUUAAAAACACAGGGCUCUGCGAAGUCGCAAGACGACGUAUAGGGUCUGACGCCUGCCCGGUGCCGGAAGGUUAAAAGGAGAGGUGAGAGCUUUGAAUUGAAGCCCCGGUAAACGGCGGCCGUAACGAUAACGGUCCUAAGGUAGCGAAAUUCCUUGUCGGGUAAGUUCCGACCUGCACGAAUGGCGUAACGACUUCCCCGCUGUCUCCAACAUCGACUCAGCGAAAUUGAAUUGCCUGUCAAGAUGCAGGCUUCCCGCGGUUAGACGGAAAGACCCCGUGCACCUUCACUACAGCUUCGCACUGGCAUCAGGCACAACAUGUGCAGGAUAGGUGGUAGGCUUUGAAGCAGGGACGCCAGUCCCUGUGGAGCCUCCCUUGAGAUACCACCCUUGUUCUGCUUGAUGUCUAACCGCGGCCCGUUAUCCGGGUCCGGGACCGUGCGUGGUGGGUAGUUUGACUGGGGCGGUCGCCUCCUAAAGCGUAACGGAGGCGCGCGAAGGUUGGCUCAGAGCGGUCGGAAAUCGCUCGUUGAGUGCAAUGGCAGAAGCCAGCCUGACUGCAAGACUGACAAGUCGAGCAGAGUCGAAAGACGGCCAUAGUGAUCCGGUGGUCCCAAGUGGGAGGGCCAUCGCUCAACGGAUAAAAGGUACGCCGGGGAUAACAGGCUGAUACUGCCCAAGAGUCCAUAUCGACGGCAGUGUUUGGCACCUCGAUGUCGGCUCGUCUCAUCCUGGGGCUGGAGCAGGUCCCAAGGGUAUGGCUGUUCGCCAUUUAAAGAGGUACGUGAGCUGGGUUUAGAACGUCGUGAGACAGUUCGGUCCCUAUCUGCCGUGGGUGUAGGAUACUUGAGAGGAGUUGCCCCUAGUACGAGAGGACCGGGGUGAACGAUCCACUGGUGGACCUGUUAUCGCGCCAGCGGUAGUGCAGGGUAGCUAUGAUCGGAAAGGAUAACCGCUGAAGGCAUCUAAGCGGGAAGCCCCCCUCAAAACAAGGUAUCCCUGAGGACCGUGGAAGACCACCACGUCGAUAGGCCGGAGAUGUAAGCGCAGCAAUGCGUUCAGUUGACCGGUACUAAUGGCC
rnacentral:rRNA from 14 species